UUGUGCCUCCGCUUACCCGCAGCUCCGACCACUGGCUCGCGCUACCCAGAGGUGAGUGCCGGGCUCGGCGCUCUGCUCCUGGAGCUCCCGCGGGACUGCCUGGGGACAGGGACUGCUGUGGCGCUCGGGCCUCCACUGCGGACCUCUCCUGAGUGGGUGCGCCGAGUCAUGGAGGGCGCAGAGCUGGCCGGGAAGAUCCUUUCCACCUGGCUGACGCUGGUUCUCGGCUUCAUCCUUCUACCUUCGGUCUUCGGAGUGUCUCUGGGCAUCUCCGAGAUCUACAUGAAGAUCCUAGUAAAAACUUUAGAGUGGGCCACAAUACGAAUUGAAAAAGGAACCCCAAAGGAGUCGAUUCUUAAAAACUCUGCUUCUGUUGG
rnacentral:sRNA from 1 species